GACAGAGGGUGCAAACGUUGUUCGGAAUUACUGGGCGUAAAGCGCGUGUAGGCGGCCCUGCAAGUCGGAUGUGAAAUCCCACGGCUCAACCGUGGAAGUGCAUUCGAAACUGCAGGGCUAGAGUCCUGGAGAGGAAGGUGGAAUGCUUGGUGUAGAGGUGAAAUUCGUAGAUAUCAAGCGGAACACCGGUGGCGAAGGCGGCCUUCUGGACAGUGACUGACGCUUAGACGCGAAAGCGUGUGGAGCGAACAGG
rnacentral:rRNA from 1 species